CCUACGGGAGGCAGCAGUAGGGAAUCUUCCACAAUGGACGAAAGUCUGAUGGAGCAACGCCGCGUGAGUGAAGAAGGGUUUCGGCUCGUAAAGCUCUGUUGGUAGUGAAGAAAGAUAGAGGUAGUAACUGGCCUUUAGUUGACGGUAAUUACUGAGAAAGUCACGGCUAACUACGUGCCAGCAGCCGCGGUAAUACGUAGGUGGCAAGCGUUGUCCGGAUUUAUUGGGCGUAAAGCGAGUGCAGGCGGUUCAAUAAGUCUGAUGUGAAAGCCUUCGGCUCAACCGGAGAAUUGCAUCAGAAACUGUUGAACUUGCGUGCAGAAGAGGCGAGUUGCACUCCAUGUGUAGCGGUGGCAUUCGUAGAUAUAUGGAAGAACCCCAGUGGCGAAGGCGGCUCUCUGGUCUGCAACUGACGCUGAGGCUCGAAAGCCUGGGUAGCGAACAGGAUUAGCUACCCUGGUAGUC
rnacentral:rRNA from 1 species